rnacentral:rRNA from 1 species
CAGCUAGUUGGUGGGGUAACGGCCUACCAAGGCGACGAUCGAUAGCUGGUCUCAGAGGAUGAUCAGCCAGACUGGGACUGAGACACGGCCCAGACUCCUACGGGAGGCAGCAGUUAGGAAUUUUGGGCAAUGGGCGCAAGCCUGACCCAGCAACGCCGCGUGGGUGACGAAGGCCUUCGGGUUGUAAAGCCCUUUUCUGGGGGAAGAUGAUGACGGUACCCCAGGAAGAAGCACCGGCUAACUACGUGCCAGCAGCCGCGGUAAUACGUAGGGUGCGAGCGUUGCCCGGAUUUAUUGGGCGUAAAGGGCGCGCAGGCGGUCACGCACGUCCGUUGUGAAAUCGCUCGGCUCAACUGGGCGGGGUCAGCGGAUACGGCGUGACUGGAGCAAGCUAGGGGGCAAUGGAAUUCCCGGUGUAGUGGUGGAAUGCGUAGAUAUCGGGAGGAACACCAGUGGCGAAGGCGGUUGCCUGGAGCUUUGCUGACGCUGAGGCGCGAAAGCGUGGGGAGCGAUC